rnacentral:misc_RNA from 1 species
CUUCUUCUUCUUCUUCCUCUUCUACCCCGCCCUUGUUCUUUUCUUUUUCUUUAAAUAUCUCAGACCAAACAUAUACAAAGUUGGUGGGAAGGGGAAUCAUUAUCUUAUCAAACAAGUUGAUGAAUAAUCUUGAUGUUGAUGUUUGGUUACUUUGAUGAACUCUAGUCUGGUUCCCAUUUACCCUGAUCGAUGGCUAGCUAGCUGCAUAUCAAUAUCAAUUAUCAUUUUCACCUAGCUUGAACUCGAACAUUGCCUCACCGAACAAGCAACCACCUGCGCCCACUGCCUUAGCCUCGUCUUCAUCGUCUGUGGAUUGUCACCUGCAUCCGAUUUUCCCAAGAAACAAUCACUCCUCACAUGAAGAAAAUCAAACAAACAUGCUAUUUUUUAAAAAACAAAUUUAAAAUAAAAUUAACUUUAUACCUGGACCGAAGAUGGCAUGGGGGCUGCCCAGUGGAGACGGCGAAUCACAGUCAGACGCCGUGGACAAAGACGACGUCGUCGUUGCCGUGACUGACUUGAAAAGGGUGUCAUAAUAGUGCUUGUUGACAGCAUGAUAAAGUCCCAGAGCGGGCAAAGUAUCAGAUAACCGUUGAUCCACCUCGGGUGAGUCAAACCCGAAACCUAACUCGAUGCAACCCUUAAGCUCAUCAAGAUCUUCAUCUGUAACGCUCUUGCUUCUCCGAUUCUUGCAGUUUCCUUUCCGCCUAAGCCAAGCCUCAUCCCGGUAAAUAUCCGGUGACCAAGAAUGCUGCUUAUAAAGCGAUGGUGAUGGGCCCAGCAGCUGCUGCUGUUGUACAGUUGGAGGUGGAAGAGGCUGCUGUGCUGGCGGGAGUGGUGGCGCGUGACACUGAGGGAGGGACAUGGGCACAGCCCCAGAAGAAGGGGAGUGCGGCGGAGGCCGGAGGACCUCGCCCGGUGGGCUAGAGAGCGCUAUGGCUAAAAGAAAAAAAUGUUAAAAAUUUUAAACUU